rnacentral:rRNA from 1 species
CUUGGUCAUUUAGAGGAAGUAAAAGUCGUAACAAGGUUUCCGUAGGUGAACCUGCGGAAGGAUCAUUAAUGAAAUGUUUGUCGAGAAGGGUUGUAGCUGGCCUCCAGGGGCAUGUGCACACCCUGAAUCACAUCCACCUCCCACACCUGUGCACCGCCUGUAGCUUGGGAUGAUCACGGAGCCCUGAUGGGCAACGAAGGCCCUCGUCUAUGAAUAUUUUUACAAACGCUCAAAGUAUGACAGAAUGUAUAUCAUAUUGCGUCUGAUAAACGUGACAAAUACAACUUUCAACAACGGAUCUCUUGGCUCUCGCAUCGAUGAAGAACGCAGCGAAAUGCGAUAAGUAAUGUGAAUUGCAGAAUUCAGUGAAUCAUCGAAUCUUUGAACGCACCUUGCGCUCCUUGGUAUUCCGAGGAGCAUGCCUGUUUGAGUGUCAUGAAAUUCUCAACUGCCCCAGGCUUUGUGGCCUGCGGGUGAAGUUGGACUUGGAGGUAUGCUGGCGCAUGAAUGGGCUUUUGUGCCCCGUCUCGCUUGUUGGCUCCUCUCGAAUGCAUGAGCUUUCCAAUCCUUGGCAAAGUAUCGUCGAUGUGAUAAUUGUCUACGUCGCCUGAGAAAGCCGAAAAGGGGAAAUCUUUGAUCACGCUGGGGUGACCUGCGUCUGACAAAUUCGACCUCAAAUCAGGUAGGACUACCCGCUGAACUUAAGCAUAUCAAUAAGCGGAGGA